GGCAGGCCACAGAGGAGCAAGACUUGUCAGGGGCCAGACCUGGGUAGGAGGAUUGUCCUCCAGGCACACACGGCCCCCAGCCCCCCAGCCUGUCGAACUGGGCUCUCCCAGAAGGUCCCCGGCUCCAGCCCAAGCAGGGAGCCAGGUUGGGGGUGUGGGAAGGCAGAAGUCCCAGGGAUCCUGGGGGAGGCUCAGGUUGUACCUGAAGGCCACAGUCUCCUCGACAGACCUCGGACGAGGUUGUAAGUGUUUUAAAGAAACUAGAGCAGCAGAGAAGAGAGACUCAGAAGCCCGUGGCACGGCUUUCUCGGCGUCCCCUCCAGCGAGGGGGUCUCCAUUGCUGCAGUUGCCGGUUUUGUCCAACCAGGAGGUUGACCCGAAACAGCCCUCCGUCUUCCUGCCCAUGAGGAUGAGGACAGGAAGCCAGACCCGGGAGAGAAAGCCCAGAUCAGACAGAUGGGGGUUGGGAGGGCCUAGUGGCUGAAACUGCCCUGCUUGGGGACAAUGCUCAGGCAGGACCAAUCCAAACGAGGGCACUGCUUAUGUGGUCCUUCCGGAGCAUCCUCCAAGGCAGAGCCUGGCUUCGGGCCCUCCCUGCAAGGACACCUGCCUCCACUCCCUGCCAGACCAGGCCUGGCUGCAGAGGCGGAGGGGCGGCAGGGCUGCCUGUCUCCACUGUUUGGCGGUGUUUACACGUGUCGCUGUCAGGGUGUCUGGACAGUGGGGGUCGGGGGCCUCCCGGGCCCAGACUUCCCCAGGCCUAUUCUCACACUGGUGAGAGGGCCCUAGGGGAAGGGUGUGGGCUGGGUGGCGGGGCCAGGCCAGCUGAGACCUACAGGACCGUGGAGCAUUUAGGUCUCCCACCCAACUCCACCCGGUCCUCUGAGCAUCAGUUACAGAGCCCAGGCAGCAGGAGGGCAGGGCCCAGCCCCUUAUCACCCAUCCUCAAGGCAGGCAGGAACCCUGAAGGCAGCUUCCACCAGGGGUUCCCUUAGCCCCCACCCUCCAAAAGCCCCAGACCCUGCCAGGCCUCACCCUGCCAGCAUCGUGGCCCCAGCUGACGGCUCCCAAGGGCAGGUGCUGGCAACACAAGCAGGAGCCCUCGGGGCAUCCCGCAGGGCACACACCAGGUCGCCCUGGGCUCCCCAAGCACCUCCCAGACCCAGCCCUUGGGUGGGUCCUGGCCCACAAACCCCCACGCCCUGCCCCUGAGAUGAGCCCCACCGCCCACCUGCCCUCCAGCCCUGGAGACCUUUCUCCCCCUUGGCCAUGGCUCCCAUGGGGAGGCUGCAGGCCCUCCCUGGGCUGGACCAGAGGGGACAGACUGUCUCUCCCCUGCGACUUCUGGGGGCACUGGAGUCCUUGGCCUGGUUACCUUCAGCAUUUAUAGCCCUCCAGUGAGUUAUUCCUCGGAGUUCUCACAGAGCAGCAUGCGCCUGCGGCAAAGCCCUCACCUCCAGCCCCUGGACCACCUGACUGCUGCCUCCCGCCUGGCGCCAAACACGGCCACCGCCUCUUUUGUUAACAGGACAGUUGAUCCAUUAAAUUAAAAAUCAUUCAAUAGA
ensembl:lncRNA novel transcript